rnacentral:misc_RNA from 1 species
AUAAUUGUUCAUAUCAUACUCAGCCUCAACCAAUAAUUGUUCAUAUCAUACUCAGUCCCAACCAAUAAUUGUUCAUAUCAUACUUAGCAUCAACCAAUAAUACCCAAUCUCUCACAACUUCCCAUUACAUAUGAAUAUCGUGAUUUCGAUAGUGAUACUAACUAGUACUACAGGAAUCUCGCCGUGGCCNCUUCCCNUCUAUUCAGCUACAAAAAGUGGUGUGAUUGGUUUCACUAGAGCAACUGCCGUUUCACGGGUAGCUGUGGAAAAGGGCAUACGAGUCAAUUGUCUGUGUCCCCAUGGAACAGACACUCCCAUGGCCAAGAAAGCACUGGAAGAUUUCCCUGAGCUUGAGCAAUCAUUGAUGAAACCAGAGGUUAUUGCUAAAGCUCUGAUUCAGCUCAUUGCCGAUGACUCCAAGAAUGGCGAGGCUCUGGUUAUACUUGACGAACAGACGUCNGGUUACCACCAGUUUAACAAAUUGGGUGUAUUCAAACCUAACUGAACGUGGACAAACUUAUAAUAUCUACUAUCUAUCCUGGCUGCCAUCAAUUUAACACCCUGGUGUAUUCAAACCUAACUGAACGUGAACAAACUUAUAAUAUCUACUAUCUAUCCUGGCUGCCAUCAACUUAACAACCUGGUGUAUUCAAACCAAACUUAUGUUAUUAGUAUUCUUUUAAUGAAUGGUUAAAGACAUUUUGACAUGUUUUCAAUUUUACCAUGUACCUCAGUAAAUUUCUUUUUGUUUUAAUGAUAAAGUUCCGGAGAAUCCACAAAAUCAUUCCCUAUUUGAUNGUUUUUGCCGAUGCGACCGCCAUUUUGAGAUUAUGUCAUGAUGCAAAGGCACAAAUUGUUUAGAAAAAAAACCCUACUUUCUCCUUCAAGACGACAGAUUCAAGAUGGCGGCCAUAUUGGCAAAAAGUCCUUGAGGUUGUAAACCUGGGCUAAAUUUCCUACUGACAUUACCAUAGUAACCUUUACAAACUUAAUUUCACAAGAAUUACCAGAAUAUUUUCAAGAAGUAAAUAAUGUUUUUACAAUGAAUAAAAAAAGGAAAUAUCGUUUUAACUUUUGCAAAUAAAUAAAGAAAUUUCAAAGUC